rnacentral:rRNA from 1 species
CUUUAACUCUUAUCGGGAGGCAGCAGUGGGGAAUUUUGCACAAUGGGCGCAAGCUUGAUGCAGCGACGCCGCGUGAGGGAUGACGGCCUUCGGGUUGUAAACCUCUUUCAGUAGGGAAGAAGCGAAAGUGACGGUACCUGCAGAAGAAGCGCCGGCUAACUACGUGCCAGCAGCCGCGGUAAUAGGUAGGGUGCAAGCGUUAUCCGGAAUUAUUGGGGGUAAAGAGCUCGUAGGCGGUUUGUCGCGUCUGCAGUGAAAGUCCGGGGCUCAACUCCGGAUCUGCGGUGGGUACGGGCAGACUAGAGUGAUGUAGGGGAGACUGGAAUUCCUGGUGUAGCGGUGAAAUGCGCAGAUAUCAGGAGGAACACCGAUGGCGAAGGCAGGUCUCUGGGCAUUAACUGACGCUGAGGAGCGAAAGCAUGGGGAGCGAACAGGAUUAGAUACCCUGGUAGUCCAUGCCGUAAACGUUGGGCACUAGGUGUGGGGGACGGAACACGUUUUCCGCGCCGUAGCUAACGCAUUAAGUGCCCCGCCUGGGGAGUACGGCCGCAAGGCUAAAACUUAAAGAGGAUUGACGGGGGCCCGCACAAGCGGCGGAGCAUGCUUAUAAAGUCGAUGCAACGCGAAGAACCUUACCAAGGCUUGACAUGGACCGGACCGCCGCAGAAAUGUGUUCCCCCCUUG